GAUGAACGCUGGCGGCGUGCCUAAUACAUGCAAGUCGAGCGAACAGACGAGGAGCUUGCUCCUCUGACGUUAGCGGCGGACGGGUGAGUAACACGUGGAUAACCUACCUAUAAGACUGGGAUAACUUCGGGAAACCGGAGCUAAUACCGGAUAAUAUAUUGAACCGCAUGGUUCAAUAGUGAAAGACGGUUUUGCUGUCACUUAUAGAUGGAUCCGCGCCGCAUUAGCUAGUUGGUAAGGUAACGGCUUACCAAGGCAACGAUGCGUAGCCGACCUGAGAGGGUGGGCAGCGAGACGGGAACUGAGAGACGGUGCAGACUACUACGGGAGGCAGCAGUAGGGAAUGUUCCACAAUGGGCGGAAGCUUGAAGGAGCAAGGACGAGGGAGUGAUGAAGGUCGUAGGAUAGUAAAACUCUGUUAUUAGGGAAGAAAAAGUGAGAAAGUAACUAUGCACGUCUUGACGGGACAUAAGCAGAAAGCCAGGGCUAACUACGUG
rnacentral:rRNA from 1 species